UACGGAGGUCUCAAGCGUUGUUCGGAUUCAUUGGGCGUAAAGGGUGCGUAGGCGGCGCGGUAAGUCGGGUGUGAAAUCUCGGAGCUUAACUCCGAAACUGCAUUCGAUACUGCCGUGCUUGAGGACUGGAGAGGAGACUGGAAUUUACGGUGUAGCGGUGAAAUGCGUAGAUAUCGUAAGGAAGACCAGUGGCGAAGGCGGGUCUCUGGACAGUUCCUGACGCUGAGGCACGAAGGCCAGGGGAGCAAACGGG
rnacentral:rRNA from 1 species